UUUUAGUUAAGUACUAGUAAGUUAAGAAACGUAAAUUCCCCUGUGAAAAUUUAGCCCUUUGUAUAAAAGGUCUGGCCAGUUCGGAGCCCACUCAGUGCUGCCUUGCGUUUACAAGUGAGCGUGUGUAAAUAAACCUCAGAGUAAUCCUGUUUACUUGCACUGGAAUUCAACAAUGGCAGACUCCGACCGCAUCGUAUUCCCUGACGAGUUGGCCGAGGCAAAGGCUGACGUGGUAGACGCUGCUCCCCCCGCCAACAAGACCUCGGGUAAAGACCACUCCAAAAAGGUGGAGAAACCACCUAAAGAAGUCUAUGGAAUCCACUUGAGGAACGCGAUUGUAGUACCCAGUAACUGUGACAUGGCUAGUAACGGCGUCUGCUACGAAGUACACAAAGA